AGAGUUUGAUCAUGGCUCAGAUUGAACGCUGGCGGCAGGCCUAACACAUGCAAGUCGAGCGGUAGCACAGAGAGCUUGCUCUCGGGUGACGAGCGGCGGACGGGUGAGUAAUGUCUGGGAAACUGCCUGAUGGAGGGGGAUAACUACUGGAAACGGUAGCUAAUACCGCAUAANNNNNNNNNNNNNNNNNNNNNNNNNNNNNNNNNNNNNNNNNNNNNNNNNNNGUCGCAAGACCAAAGUGGGGGACCUUCGGGCCUCAUGCCAUCAGAUGUGCCCAGAUGGGAUUAGCUAGUAGGUGGGGUAACGGCUCACCUAGGCGACGAUCCCUAGCUGGUCUGAGAGGAUGACCAGCCACACUGGAACUGAGACACGGUCCAGACUCCUACGGGAGGCAGCAGUGGGGAAUAUUGCACAAUGGGCGCAAGCCUGAUGCAGCCAUGCCGCGUGUGUGAAGAAGGCCUUCGGGUUGUAAAGCACUUUCAGCGGGGAGGAAGGCGGUGAGGUUAAUAACCUCAUCGAUUGACGUUACCCGCAGAAGAAGCACCGGCUAACUCCGUGCCAGCAGCCGCGGUAAUACGGAGGGUGCAAGCGUUAAUCGGAAUUACUGGGCGUAAAGCGCACGCAGGCGGUCUGUCAAGUCGGAUGUGAAAUCCCCGGGCUCAACCUGGGAACUGCAUUCGAAACUGGCAGGCUAGAGUCUUGUAGAGGGGGGUAGAAUUCCAGGUGUAGCGGUGAAAUGCGUAGAGAUCUGGAGGAAUACCGGUGGCGAAGGCGGCCCCCUGGACAAAGACUGACGCUCAGGUGCGAAAGCGUGGGGAGCAAACAGGAUUAGAUACCCUGGUAGUCCACGCCGUAAACGAUGUCGAUUUGGAGGUUGUGCCCUUGAGGCGUGGCUUCCGGAGCUAACGCGUUAAAUCGACCGCCUGGGGAGUACGGCCGCAAGGUUAAAACUCAAAUGAAUUGACGGGGGCCCGCACAAGCGGUGGAGCAUGUGGUUUAAUUCGAUGCAACGCGAAGAACCUUACCUGGUCUUGACAUCCACAGAACUUUCCAGAGAUGGAUUGGUGCCUUCGGGAACUGUGAGACAGGUGCUGCAUGGCUGUCGUCAGCUCGUGUUGUGAAAUGUUGGGUUAAGUCCCGCAACGAGCGCAACCCUUAUCCUUUGUUGCCAGCGGUUAGGCCGGGAACUCAAAGGAGACUGCCAGUGAUAAACUGGAGGAAGGUGGGGAUGACGUCAAGUCAUCAUGGCCCUUACGACCAGGGCUACACACGUGCUACAAUGGCAUAUACAAAGAGAAGCGACCUCGCGAGAGCAAGCGGACCUCAUAAAGUAUGUCGUAGUCCGGAUUGGAGUCUGCAACUCGACUCCAUGAAGUCGGAAUCGCUAGUAAUCGUAGAUCAGAAUGCUACGGUGAAUACGUUCCCGGGCCUUGUACACACCGCCCGUCACACCAUGGGAGUGGGUUGCAAAAGAAGUAGGUAGCUUAACCUUCGGGAGGGCGCUUACCACUUUGUGAUUCAUGACUGGGGUGAAGUCGUAACAAGGUAACCGUAGGGGAACCUGCGGUUGGAUCACCU
rnacentral:rRNA from 1 species